rnacentral:rRNA from 1 species
AGAGUUUGAUCCUGGCUCAGAUUGAACGCUGGCGGCAUGCUUUACACAUGCAAGUCGAACGGUAACAGGGUGCUUGCACCGCUGACGAGUGGCGAACGGGUGAGUAAUGCGUCGGAACGUGCCGAGUAAUGGGGGAUAACGCAUCGAAAGGUGUGCUAAUACCGCAUACGCUCUGAGGAGGAAAGCUGGGGAUCGAAAGACCUGGCGUUAUUCGAGCGGCCGACGUCUGAUUAGCUAGUUGGUGAGGUAAAGGCUCACCAAGGCGACGAUCAGUAGCGGGUCUGAGAGGAUGAUCCGCCACACUGGGACUGAGACACGGCCCAGACUCCUACGGGAGGCAGCAGUGGGGAAUUUUGGACAAUGGGGGCAACCCUGAUCCAGCCAUGCCGCGUGUCUGAAGAAGGCCUUCGGGUUGUAAAGGACUUUUGUUAGGGAGCAAGUCCUGCAGGUUAAGAGCUAGUAGGGAUGAGAGUACCUAAAGAAUAAGCACCGGCUAACUACGUGCCAGCAGCCGCGGUAAUACGUAGGGUGCAAGCGUUAAUCGGAAUUACUGGGCGUAAAGGGUGCGCAGGCGGUAUUGUAAGCCAGAUGUGAAAUCCCCGGGCUCAACCUGGGAACUGCGUUUGGAACUGCAAUGCUAGAGUGUGUCAGAGGGGGGUGGAAUUCCACGUGUAGCAGUGAAAUGCGUAGAGAUGUGGAGGAACACCGAUGGCGAAGGCAGCCCCCUGGGAUAACACUGACGCUCAGGCACGAAAGCGUGGGGAGC